rnacentral:rRNA from 1 species
UACAGAGGUGCCGAGCGUUAGGCGGAAUCACUGGGCUUAAAGCGUGUGUAGGCGGAUGCCUAAGUACCUUGUGAAAUCCCACAGCUCAACUGUGGAACUGCUUGGUAUACUGGGCGUCUUGAGCCACUUAGGGGUUACCGGAACAAAUGGUGGAGCGGUGAAAUGCGUAGAUAUCAUUUGGAACGCCAAUGGUGAAAACAGGUAACUGGGAGUGUGCUGACGCUGAGACACGAAAGCCAGGGGAGCGAACGGG